UACGUAGGGGGCUAGCGUUGUCCGGAAUCAUUGGGCGUAAAGAGCGUGUAGGCGGUCCGAUAAGUCCGUUGUGAAAGUCCAGGGCUCAACCCUGGGAUGCCGGCGGAUACUGUCGGACUAGAGUCCGGAAGAGGCAAGUGGAAUUCCCGGUGUAGCGGUGAAAUGCGCAGAUAUCGGGAGGAACACCAACGGCGAAGGCAGCUUGCUGGGACGGUACUGACGCUGAGACGCGAAAGCGUGGGGAGCAAACAGG
rnacentral:rRNA from 1 species